GGGGAUUUAGUUCAGUGGUAGAGCGCUUGCCUAGCAAGCGCAAGAACCUGGGUUCAGUCCCCA
rnacentral:tRNA from 1 species